CACGAUUUGUUUUGGUGGAGGCUCCAGCUCUGCACCGGACAGGCUGCAGCUAGCAGCAGGAAGUGGGAGAGACACUCCUCCAUGCACAUGAUCGCUCUCAUUCUCACUUUCUGUCUGUCUCUAACUCUUUCACUCCUUCACAGAGAGCUUGGAAUGUGAAGGGAAGGAGAUUUUCAAAAGACGGAGAGGAGAAACGAGCCAUAAAACAGAUUUACAGGUGAAUUAGCAGGUUGUUACACUGCAGGACAUCAC